rnacentral:rRNA from 1 species
GACGAACGCUGGCGGCGUGCUUAACACAUGCAAGUCGAACGGAAAGGCCCUGCUUUUGUGGGGUGCUCGAGUGGCGAACGGGUGAGUAACACGUGAGUAACCUGCCCUUGACUUUGGGAUAACUUCAGGAAACUGGGGCUAAUACCGGAUAGGAGCUCCUGCUGCAUGGUGGGGGUUGGAAAGUUUCGGCGGUUGGGGAUGGACUCGCGGCUUAUCAGCUUGUUGGUGGGGUAGUGGCUUACCAAGGCUUUGACGGGUAGCCGGCCUGAGAGGGUGACCGGCCACAUUGGGACUAGGAUACGGCCCAGACUCCUACGGGAGGCAGCAGUGUGAAAUAUUACACAAUGGGCGGAAGCCUGAUACAGCAACGCCGCGUGCGGGAUGACGGCCUUCGGGUUAUAAACCGCUUUCGCCUGUGACGAAGCGUGAGUGACGGUAAUGGGUAAAGAAGCACCGGCUAACUACGUG